UGGGGAAUAUUGGACAAUGGGGGCAACCCUGAUCCAGCCAUGCCGCGUGGAUGUUAAGGCCUUCGGGUUGUAAAGUCCUUUUGGCGGGGACGAUGAUGACGGUACCCGCAGAAUAAGAUCCGGCAAACUUCGUGCCAGCAGCCGCGGUGAUACGAAGGGAUCUAGCGUUGUUCGGAAUUACUGGGCGUAAAGCGCACGUAGGCGGAUUGUUAAGUCAGAGGUGAAAUCCCGGAGCUCAACUUCGGAACUGCCUUUGAUACUGGCAAUCUAGAGUCCGGAAGAGGUUAGUGGAAUUCCCAGUGUAGAGGUGAAAUUCGUAGAUAUUGGGAAGAACACCAGUGGCGAAGGCGGCUAACUGGUCCGGUACUGACGCUGAGGUGCGAAAGCGUGGGGAGCAAACAGGAUUAGAUACCCCCGUAGUCCCUGAGCGGGCUGGCAAGGCGCAU
rnacentral:rRNA from 1 species